GAACGCACCGCAAGGUGAGUGGCAGACGGGUGAGUAACGCGUGGGAACCUUCCCUGUGGUACGGAAUAACUUCGGGAAACCGAAGCUAAUACCGUAUAUCUCCUCCGGGAGAAAGAUUUAUCGCCAUAGGAUGGGCCCGCGUUGGAUUAGCUAGUUGGUAGGGUAAUGGCCUACCAAGGCAACGAUCCAUAGCUGGUCUGAGAGGAUGAUCAGCCACACUGGAACUGAGACACGGUCCAGACUCCUACGGGAGGCAGCAGUGGGGAAUAUUGGACAAUGGGCGAAAGCCUGAUCCAGCCAUGCCGCGUGUGUGAAGAAGG
rnacentral:rRNA from 1 species